GCGGGCGUCGCCAAGUGGUAAGGCAUUAGCUUCCCAAGCUAACAUUCGCCGGUUCGAAUCCGGUCGCCCGCU
rnacentral:tRNA from 1 species